CCUACGGGAGGCAGCAGUGGGGAAUCUUGCGCAAUGGGCGAAAGCCUGACGCAGCAACGCCGCGUGCGGGAAGAAGGCUUUCGGGCUGUAAACCGCUUUCAGCAGGAACGAAAAUGACGGUACCCGCAGAAGAAGGAGCGGCCAACUAUGUGCCAGCAGCCGCGGUGAUACAUAGGCUUCAAGCGUUGUCCGGAUUUAUUGGGCGUAAAGAGUUCGUAGGCGGUCGAGUAAGUCGGGUGUGAAAAUUCUGGGCUCAACCCAGAGACGCCACCCGAUACUGCUUAACUUGAGUUCGAUAGGGGAGUGGGGAAUUCCUAGUGUAGCGGUGAAAUGCGCAGAUAUUAGGAGGAACACCGGUGGCGAAGGCGCCACUCUGGAUCGAUACUGACGCUGAGGAACGAAAGCAUGGGUAGCAAACAGGAUUAGAUACCCUGGUAGUCCAUGCCGUAAACGGUGGGCACUAGGUGUGGGAUUCUAUUAACGAAUUCCGCGCCGUCGCUAACGCAUUAAGUGCCCCGCCUGGGGAGUACGGUCGCAAGCUAAAACUUAAGGAAUUGACGG
rnacentral:rRNA from 1 species